rnacentral:rRNA from 1 species
CAGUAGCCACGGUAAAACGAAGGGGGCUAGCGUUGCUCGGAAUGAUUGGGCGUAAAGGGCGCGUAGGCGGUUUGUACAGUCAGAUGUGAAAUUCCUGGGCUCAACCUGGGGGCUGCAUUUGAUACGUGGCGACUAGAGUGUGAGAGAGGGUUGUGGAAUUCCCAGUGUAGAGGUGAAAUUCGUAGAUAUUGGGAAGAACACCGGUGGCGAAGGCGGCAACCUGGCUCAUUACUGACGCUGAGGCGCGAAAGCGUGGGGAGCAAACAGGAUUAGAUACCCGCGUAGUCCCUGUCUCUUAUAA